AGAGUUUGAUCAUGGCUCAGAACGAACGCUGGCGGCAGGCCUAACACAUGCAAGUCGAGCGCGCCUUCGGGCGAGCGGCGGACGGGUUAGUAACGCGUGGGAACGUGCCCAGAUCUACGGAAUAGCCACUGGAAACGGUGAGUAAUACCGUAUACGCCCUUCGGGGGAAAGAUUUAUCGGAUUUGGAUCGGCCCGCGUUAGAUUAGGUAGUUGGUGGGGUAACGGCCUACCAAGCCUACGAUCUAUAGCUGGUUUUAGAGGAUGAUCAGCAACACUGGGACUGAGACACGGCCCAGACUCCUACGGGAGGCAGCAGUGGGGAAUCUUGGACAAUGGGGGCAACCCUGAUCCAGCCAUGCCGCGUGAGUGAAGAAGGCCCUAGGGUCGUAAAACUCUUUCGCCUGUGAUGAUAAUGACAGUAGCAGGUAAAGAAACCCCGGCUAACUCCGUGCCAGCAGCCGCGGUAAUUC
rnacentral:rRNA from 1 species